UUGUCUCUGACUGUUUCAGGGAAAGACCUCCCAUCAUGGGCGAUAGGUGUAAUUGCAUUCCUGGUUGUAGUGUUUAUUGCAGUGAUUGUUUCCUGCUGCUGGGGCACGAGACAGAAAGGAAUCCUGUGAGCUCUGAUCCAGAAGCAGACCCCAGAGAAAGAACCUGACCCUUCAGAGCCCCUAUGAUUCUGGAAUUCCUGGUGUCUGUGAUACGGACUGAAUGUCAUUUUCAACUUCUUCUUUUCUUGCAUUUCCAAUAUCUCUUUUUUGCAAGUUCAGGGUUCAAGUGCACUUUCAACAAGAACUAAUGUUUCAGUCAAAUGGAGAGUGCUGUCAUUCUACUCAUUCUGUGUGGAAGAGUUCAUUAUCAUCUCUUAAAUUGUUUCUUUUUGACCAUGGGUUAUGGCCCGCUGUGUUUCGGGGGAGGGAAGGGGCUGAUUCCAUCAGCAGGAUAGUUAUUAUUCAUUCAGCCCAUGAUUUGAUAUGAAGUGACUUACAUUUGUGUCCUUUAGUAUGGUAUAGUACAGAAACGGUUUUAAUCUGAUCUGCAAAUUCAUUUUAAUGUAAAUUGUUCAGAUUAAGCUGAGAAUUAAUUUGAACAGCCAAAGCCAGGAUGUCUAUAUCAUAUUAAUCUCACAUGUACAAACAUCAGAGCAUUUUCAGUACCACAGCAGAGAAUUCUAGCAUUUUGCAAUGCUUUUAAUAAGGUUGUUUCAGUCCCUGUGUGUUUAUUCUUUUGGAACUAGUAUCAUUAAUAAAGAGUCUGCAAAUCUUA